rnacentral:lncRNA from 1 species
AUGUCAGUCAUUUACUCGCAUGCAGGUCGUCAACAUCCUGAACUCGACUUGAAGUUGCAGUUAAACCUUCAUUUUGUCACAGCAGUGUCUCAUUUCUUCUCUUUAGAUGAUGAACGUAACACAAACCAGCGGAGUCGAGUGGCGCGCAUCGCCUUCGUCAGAUUUGCCUUCGUGCUCCUGCUCCUCCUCAUGAAGAAGGAGGUCACCAUCUGCGAGGCGGUGCAGCCAAGUCACACUCUGAAUCUAUUAAUCAGAGCUGCGUUGGAACAGACAACUGCGAGACGCCAUAAUGACUAG